GUUCUUACUUUGGCAGCAUUUUACUAACAUUCAAACAAUACAGAGAUUAGCCUGUACCCUGGGCAAGGACACACGAAUUCGUGAAGUGUUCUGUAUUUUA
ensembl:snRNA U6 U6 spliceosomal RNA